UCUUAACAAAGGAGUUCUUAAGAGUCCUCGUGGUAUUGAUGUGGAUAAUGAUGGCAAUGUGUACGUGGUGGGAUACAAUUCUAACAAUGUUGUAGUUAUCUCCCCUGAUGGACAACGACAUAGAGAAGUAUUGACAGCAAGUGAUGGUCUUAGUGAUCCUUUGUCACUUCAUUAUAGUGGAUCAAACAAUCAGUUGCUUAUUGUUAACUUCACCAACAACAAGGCUUUUUUGUUUAAUUGUAAUUGAAAAAAAUAACUAUGUAAACUGCUGUCUCUGUAGAUUGUAAUCAUAUUAAAUGUCUUUGGACAAUGGAC
rnacentral:lncRNA from 1 species